AAUAGAUACCCUGGUAGUCCACCCCGUAAACGUUGGGAACUAGUUGUGGGGUCCUUUCCACGGAUUCCGUGACGCAGCUAACGCAUUAAGUUCCCCGCCUGGGGAGUACGGCCGCAAGGCUAAAACUCAAAGGAAUUGACGGGGACCCGCACAAGCGGCGGAACAUGCGGAUUAAUUCGAUGCAACGCGAAGAACCUUACCAAGGCUUGACAUACACCAGAACACCCUAGAAAUAGGGGACUCUUUGGACACUGGUGAACAGGUGGUGCAUGGUUGUCGUCAGCUCGUGUCGUGAGAUGUUGGGUUAAGUCCCGCAACGAGCGCAACCCUCGUUCUAUGUUGCCAGCACGUAAUGGUGGGAACUCAUGGGAUACUGCCGGGGUCAACUCGGAGGAAGGUGGGGAUGACGUCAAAUCAUCAUGCCCCUUAUGUCUUGGGCUUCACGCAUGCUACAAUGGCCGGUACAAAGGGCUGCAAUACCGUGAGGUGGAGCGAAUCCCAAAAAGCCGGUCCCAGUUCGGAUUGAGGUCUGCAACUCGACCUCA
rnacentral:rRNA from 1 species